rnacentral:rRNA from 1 species
GGGGCUAAAAUCAUAUACCGAAUCUGUGGGUUUAUAAAAUUUUCGAAUUUUAUAAGCGGUAGCGGAACGUUCUGUAAGCCUGUGAAGGAGUACCCGUGAGGGACUCUGGAGGUAUCAGAAGUGCGAAUGCUGACAUAAGUAACGAUAAAAGAAGUGAAAAACUUCUUCGCCGAAAAUCCAAGGGUUUCUGCGCAAGGUUAAUCCGCGCAGAGUUAGUCGGCACCUAAGGCGAGGGCGAAAGCCGUAGUCGAUGGAAAUAAGGUUAAUAUUCCUUAACCAGAUGGUAGUGACGGAUCUUGUAAGUUGUGAGCUCUUAAUGGAUUGAGCUUGCCGCGAAAAGGUUCCAAGAAAUAGCUCCAUCAUUAGACCGUACCCUAAACCGACACAGGUGGAUUAAUAGAGUAUAUUUAGGCGCUUGAGAGAAUGAUGUUGAAGGAACUCGGCAAAAUGCUUCCGUAACUUCGGGAUAAGGAAGACCUGUUUUUAGGCAACUAGAGAUGGGUGGCACAAGCCAGGGAGAAGCGACUGUUUAUCAAAAACACAGGGCUCUGCUAACACGUAAGUGGAUGUAUAGGGUCUGACGCCUGCCCGGUGCUGGAAGGUUAAUGCGGUUGGUGCAAGCUAACUUCUGAAGCCCCAGUAAACGGCGGCCGUAACUAUAACGGUCCUAAGGUAGCGAAAUUCCUUGUCGGGUAAGUUCCGACCUGCAUGAAUGGCGUAACGAUUUCUCCGCUGUCUCCAACAUCAACUCAGUGAAAUUGAAUUCUCCGUGAAGAUGCGGAGUUCGCGUAGUUAGACGGAAAGACCCCGUGCACCUUUACUGCAACUUUACAUUGGUGUUAGGAAAAACAUAUUUAGCAUAGGAGGGAGACAUUGAAGCAAAGGCGUCAGCUUUUGUGGAGUCACCAGUGAAAUACCUCUUUUGUUUUUCUUGAUAUCUAACUGAUUGCCGUCAUCCGGCAUCAAGACAUUGUAUGGUGGGUAGUUUGACUGGGGCGGUCGCCUCCCAAAUAGUAACGGAGGCGUGCGAAGGUAGGCUCAGAACGGUCAGAAAUCGUUCGUAGAGUGCAAUGGCAUAAGCCUGCCUGACUGUGAGACUGACAAGUCGAGCAGAGACGAAAGUCGGUCAUAGUGAUCCGGUGGUUCUG